UACGUAGGGUGCAAGCGUUAAUCGGAAUUACUGGGCGUAAAGCGUGCGCAGGCGGUGAUGUAAGACAGAUGUGAAAUCCCAGGGCUCAACCUUGGAACUGCAUUUGUGACUGCAUCGCUGGAGUGCGGCAGAGGGGGAUGGUAUUCCGCGUGUAGCAGUGAAAUGCGUAGAUAUGCGGAGGAACACCGAUGGCGAAGGCAAUCCCCUGGGCCUGCACUGACGCUCAUGCACGAAAGCGUGGGGAGCAAACAGG
rnacentral:rRNA from 1 species